rnacentral:rRNA from 1 species
AUAAUGCCUAAAAAGCAUUGCAAACCAAGGGCCGGGCAAUACCGGUGCCAACCACCCCGGUAACACCGGCGGCUCGAGUGCUAACCGCUAUUACUUGUGGUCUAAAGGGAUCUGUACCGCGGCACGAGAUACAUUCUUUUGGGAAAUCCAUCUGCUCAACACGUUGAGGCUUUCCCAACAUACUGUUCAGCUCUAAACCGGGAGAGGUGAGAGGUACAUUCAUGGGUACGGAUGAAAUCUUGUAAUCCUUGAAGGAUCUCCCAUGGCAAAUGUCUCUCACCAUACCGAAUCUUACGACCAGGUACUAACGCUAACGGCUCGAACCGCAUUAGAUACCCCGGUAGUCGUAACCGUAAACGAUACUCGCUAGCUGUCACCCGCUGUGCAACCGUGAUUACUGCCAAAAGGAAAUCCUGAAACUAGCCAUCUGCUAAUUACUGUUGCCAGGAUUAAACUUAUUUCACUUCUGCGGCGACCAC